rnacentral:lncRNA from 1 species
CUUGGAGUCUACGGGUUAUUUAGUAGUAGUGGCUUGGAGUCUACAGGGUAUUUAGUUGUUAUGGCUUGGAGUCUACAGGGUUAUUUAGUAGUAGUGGCUUGGAGUCUACGGGGUUAUUUAGUUGUAGUGGCUUGGAGUCUAGGGGGGUUAUUUAGUAGUAGUGGCUUGGAGUCUACAGGGUUAUUUAGUUGUAGUGGCUUGGGAUCUACGGGGUUAUUUAGUUGUAGUGGCUUGGAGUCUACAGGGUUAUUUAGUGUAGUUUGCUUGGAGUCUACAGGUUAUUUAGUUGUGUUGCUUGGUCUACCGGGUUAUUUAGUUGUAAUGGCUUGGAGUCUAGGGGGGUUAUUUAGUAGUAGUGGCUUGGAGUCUACGGGGAGUAUUUAGUGUAGUGGCUUGGAGUCUACAGGGUUAU